rnacentral:rRNA from 1 species
AAAGAAACCAACAGGGAUUGCCCUAGUAACGGCGAGUGAAGCGGCAACAGCUCAAAUUUGAAAUCUGGCCCUCGGGUCCGAGUUGUAAUUUGUAGAGGAUGCUUUUGGUGAGGUGCCUUCCGAGUUCCCUGGAACGGGACGCCAUAGAGGGUGAGAGCCCCGUCUGGUUGGAUACCGAGCCUCUGUAAAGCUCCUUCGACGAGUCGAGUAGUUUGGGAAUGCUGCUCUAAAUGGGAGGUAUAUGUCUUCUAAAGCUAAAUACCGGCCAGAGACCGAUAGCGCACAAGUAGAGUGAUCGAAAGAUGAAAAGCACUUUGAAAAGAGAGUUAAAAAGUACGUGAAAUUGUUGAAAGGGAAGCGCUUAUGACCAGACUUGGGCUUGGUUGAUCAUCCUGGGUUCUCCCUGGUGCACUCUUCCAGUUCAGGCCAGCAUCAGUUCGCUGCGGGGGAUAAAAGCUUUGGGAAUGUGGCUCCCUCGGGAGUGUUAUAGACCAUUGCAUAAUACCCUGCUCCGGACUGAGGUUCGCGCAUCUGCAAGGAUGCUGGCGUAAUGGUCAUCAGCGACCCGUCUUGAAACACGGACCAAGGAGUCGUCUUCGUAUGCGAGUGUUCGGGUGUUAAACCCCUACGCGUAAUGAAAGUGAACGCAGGUGAGAGCUUCGGCGCAUCAUCGACCGAUCCUGAUGUUCUCGGAUGGAUUUGAGUAAGAGCAUACGGGGCCGGACCCGAAAGAAGGUGAACUAUGCCUGUAUAGGGUGAAGCCAGAGGAAACUCUGGUGGAGGCUCGCAGCGGUUCUGACGUGCAAAUCGAUCGUCAAAUAUGGGCAUGGGGGCGAAAGACUAAUCGAACCUUCUAGUAGCUGGUU